rnacentral:pre_miRNA from 9 species
UCUCGAUAGCGUAAAAGUUAACUCUAAUCUGUAUGGAGUUGUAACGGUUGCCUACGUUUGCCGCUAGGGGCGCUGUUCCAACUGCAUACGAAUUUGAGUUAACUUUUACGCUAUCGA